UCAAAUGAGAUGCAGAGUGGUCAGAUGUGGGAAGUGUGUGGGAAUCCCUGACUAUUAAAUAUCUGUAUUUGUGUAUUUUUUCUGUUGGAUGCUCCGUUCCUCCAGAAGAAGGAACUGAGUAUUUGGGAGUGAAUAAGCCUGCUGUCGGGGCUCGGUCACUGGGGCAGGGGAAGGAGUGUGGGAGCUUACCAUCCAGUGUGGACAGAGUCUCUUAGCUGUGAGUAUUUGGGAAUGAAUCAGCCUGCUGUCAGGAUUCUGGUAGUCACUGGGGCAGGGGAAGGAGUGUGGGAGCUUACCAUCCAGUGUGGACAGAGUCUCUUAGCCACCCUGUUCUGUCUGGGGUUGUGGCACAAUGGGUAGCUCUCCACUGGCAUCAUGCUUCUGCAUCCAUUGCAUAUGUGCUUAUAGAGGCAAUUUCCCAGCCAGAGCCUAUAUAGUCCAGUCCCCCUUAUAUCGAGGUGUCUGCAGGUGCCUAGUCCAUAUAUCUUUGCAUGAGAAAGGCUUUAUAUGCUUUCUUUUUUUCAGCUGGUUGUAAUAGAGAUAAACUUUAGGCAAAACUUUGAAUUUACAUUUUGAAGAUCCUAGAUUUUCAGUUUGAAUGCCUAGCUGACUCUGUACUGAUGGGUUUUCUAUUGCUGCUAUAACAAAUUACCACAAACUUAGUGACUUAAGAUUUGUUAUUGUACUGUUCUGAAGGUUGGAAGUCUAAUAUGGGUCAGCAGGGCUGUGUGUCUUUUGGAGGUUCUGGGGAGACUCUGUUUCCUUGCUUUUCCCAGCUUCCAGAGGUAACUUGAACUUCCUGGCUCGCGGCUCCUUGCUCUCAUCAUUCUGACCUCAGUUUCUAUAGUCACAUCUCCUUCUCUUACCCUGACCUUCUUGCCUCCCUCUAAAUACCCUUGCGAUUACAUCGGGCCCAUCUGGAUACCCAUGGUAAUCUCUCCAUUUCAAGAUCUCUAAAUGGAUAUCAUCUGUAAAGUCCCUUUUGCUGUAUAAGGUAAUAUAUUCAUAGGUUUUGGGGGUCAGGACAUGGGCAUGUUUGAGAGGCCUUAUUCCACCCAUCACAGAAUAGGACUGUCCCCUCCACCUGUUAUGUACUAACUGCUGUUAUCUGAGCAAGAAAAGCUCCAAACAUCUAUCCUGCAAAAGCAAUGAAAUCUGCUAUAACUCAAAGUAUUGUUAAUGCAGAAUUGAAAUGGGGUUAUGCCAUAACAAGAAUUUAAAAUGGUGACAUUGAGCUGGAUGUUAAAUAGUGAAUGGUGAGAAAACAUACAUGAAAGGCUAUAAAAAUUGGCCUCAGAUUUUAUAAAAUUCUUGUUUGGGAUAACAUGGAGGGCAGACAGACCGAGUUCAUACUGAAUCCCCAAAACUUUAGUGAACGUGUCUGGGAAGAGCAAGCAUAUUAGUGGGUAUUGAUUGUUUAUUGUUGCAUGAGCAAAAUAUGUAAAAAGAAAAAAAAAAGUUCUGUGAAAGCAGAAUUAAAGAGAUUAGAGAAAGUUCAGAAAUCGGUCACCUUACAGAGUUGGGAGAGCCAGCUACUUCUAGACACCAAACUUUAGGAGACAAAGAUACCAGAGACUUUGAAUGGCAAACAACCAUUAAGAGUUUUCAGUUAAACACAUGACUCAUCCAACAGCAAAUAUCACACGAAGGAUGUCAUUACCUUUUCAAGCUAUUGUUUCAGAAGGCCCCAAAGUAAAUCCAGUCAGCUGGUAGAGGAAGAGGAAGUCUUGAGAAGCACCAAGUUAUGGAAAGCUUGGAUUUGUGACUUUGGAGGUGAUUAUGGCCACCAGGGAGUGACUGGUAGCAAAUAGAUCAGAAGCCUAUGAAGAUUUUGGGAGAAUUGUAUAACUUAAAAAACUAUGUACUUGGCCUAGAAAAAGCAUGUGAUGGUAAAAAUAACCAUCAAACCCACAAGAUUUUACUCUCAACUGAGAAACUGAUGCCCAGACUGCAUAAUCCUUAGAAGCUCUGUUUGCAUUCAUUUUCCUUUGCAUGCAUGGUACCAGUUCCAGUUAGUUUCCCGAGAAAGAAGAUUCAACCCACUAAACAACUUUUCAUAGGGAAAAAAAAUCACAACAGGCCAGACAGCCAGAACUCUAAAAUCCUAAAUCUCAUUAUACUUAAAAAGGAAGGCUAGUCUCCCCAAAGAACUUACACCUGGAGCCUUUUGAAAGGAGCUAGACUUUGCUGCAGAACUUUCUUGGAAAAGAGCUGGAGAACAGAUGGCAUGUAUUCUGAGGCUGUCACAGUUUUUCAGACCUUAUAAGAAACACAUGCCCGUUAGGACAGCCCUCAGCAUAUUUGCUUUAGAUUUAUCUGAUGGUCUCUGUAUGACAGAUUUUAUCAGCUGGCAUAGGGCCAUUCUUGAUGAGUUGUACUAAAGCACUGAGAUACCGUAUGACAAUCUCAUGAGUCACUGUGGCCCCAGAAUAGAUCAGUGGUUGGUUCCCAGUGACUGGGAUUGGACUGUGUCACAAAAGAUGACUGACUGUCCCCACAAAUAUUGUAGAGACCCCUUAUCAUGGUGAUCUGAUGACUACCUUCAGAAUAGUCCCUGAUAUUACACAAGGUCCAUAUUGGCCCAUCAAUUUCUCUUCUCAGAAAGAGGAAUUACUUAAUUAAAUUCAAGAAUUAGAAACACUGGGUCCCGAUUUACACUCAAACAUUUAAUCAGUGAAAGAGACUUUUGGACAGCUUUCCUCUGCCCCUAAGUUUCUUCAAUUUAUGCUUUACAAAAGUCCCCAACAUGUAGAUAAUCCUACAUGCAAUGGUUCAGUGUAUGUAGGAGAGCUGGACAGUGUCACUGAGGUCAUGGAACUUACAGGAGAGGUUUCUGGAAUUAGGUAGGUGAUUGUUCAAAAUGUUUCGGAUGCUGGCAUCUGCAGCUAGAAUGUGUAUUGUCUCAGGAGAAGAGAAGAAUAUUGUGCUUACAUCCUUGUAGACCUUUCAGGAUCUUUUAUAUGAAUAAAAAUACCCAGGAAACAAAGACAUGAUGAAAUUAGGUGAUUUGACCUAUAUAUCCCCAUAUCUGGUUUUGCAAGCUCUUUGGUUUGGGAUGGGGUCUUUUCUCUUGGUUCCUAUAUUAUGUCUGGAUGACAAAGUAUGACUACUAUUCUUUAGUUAGUAUUUAUCUGGUUUUCAGUGCCAAAAUGUAUGGUUUUCAGAGCCUUGAAUGCUGUGGAGAGGUCCCUUUUCUUAUCAAUGAUCCAAUUAAUGAACAUUCCACAAAAAAUAAAGAGAACCUGAUACUUAUUAACGUUGGCGUGACUGCCAGCAGAAGCUUUAUACUCAGCCAUCAUCCAGCAGCGCAGAAUGGGAUUGAUCACUCGUUCACAGGAUAAUGGUCUAACCCUUCAUUGCAGGAGGAAGAAUGACCUAUUCUCUAUUGCUGUGUGACAUCGUCCCCCCAAACCUUACCCAGUGUUCUGUGAUAAUCUAUAUGGGAAAAGAAUCUGAAAAAGAAUGGGUGUGUGUAUAUGAAUAGCUGAAUCACUUUGCCGUACAGCCAAAAUGAUCACAGCAUUGUAAAUCAACUCUACUUCAAUAAAACUUCAAAAAAACCCUUAGAUGCUGAAAACAACAGAUAUUUAUGAUCUCACAGUGUUUGUGGGAAAGGACUCUGAAAUGGAGUAGCCGAGUCCUCUGCUUCAGGGUCUCACAACACCAUGGUCAAGGGUGGGACUCUGGUCUCAUCCGAGGCUUUCCUGUGGCAGGACCUGCUUCUAAGGGCAUGUGAUUAUCAGCAGCUUUCAGCUCCUUGUGGGUGGUUGGCAUAAAGACUUCAGUUUCUUAUUCUCUAUCAGCUGGAGUCCACGUUCAGGUUCUUGUCCAGUGGGCCCUCUCCACCUGCUUCUUUAAAGCCAGAGAGGGAGAAAAUAGAGCAAGAGGGAUGCUAUAAUCUUAUGUAACAUAAUCACAUACCUCCUGCUACCUUUGCAGUAUUCAUUUGGUUAAGAGCAAGCCAUGCCUUGGCUGGGCCCCGGGGUGCCCAGAUAUUUGGUUACAUGUUAUUUGGGUUUGUCUAUGAGGGUGUUCAUGAAAGGAACAUUUGAAUCCGUACACUGAGUAGAGCAGAUCGCCCCCCCCCCCCAUGUGGGUGGGCCCCAUCCAAUAUGUUGAAGGUCUAAUAGGAUAAAACCGGACUCUUUGAGUCUGGACUUCUCAGUUUUCACAAUCAUGUGAGCCAUUUACUUCUAAUAAAUUAUAGAUAUCUAUCUAUUCAGACUACCCUGACUAAUGUCAUUACAACUGAUCUCUGGGUUUUGCAGCUCAACUGGUACCAGAAAUGCUACAAAGGAAGCUUUGUCCUUUUCGUUCCUUGGAUUUCAGACAUCCAGGAUGCUUGUCUUGAGAUCAUGUCUAUAAAAAUGCUUAAUAAGCUAAAAGUCUGCUGUAAACACUAUUAUUUUUCAUGUCACCUUAGUAGGAAUUUCUUCUUUUAAGAAAGCACUAUCUAAUGAACAAUAAAAUAACUUUUAUAAUGAGGUAAAUAGUAGCUGAAAAUUAAAGGUAGAUAGCUUUUCUAAUAUCACAUGAGAUGGUCAGUCAGCUACGUAAAAACCUACUGAAAUUCAUAACUAUCUACACUGGUCAGUUAGCUGAAGAAUUAUCAAAUCUCUGUUUCAUUUUAGACAUAUGAAAAAGGUCUGAGUUGCAGGAAUUGGAGAAGAUGUCAAAAGCUAAAAUACUUACUGCUCUCAGGUAACCUUUUCUCUGCAUCUUUCCCAGGAAAUGGCUCAGUUUUGGGUGCCAAAUUUGGUUCAUCCAUGGCCAAGAAAAUUAUGAACAAACACCAAGAAAUUUCAAGACACCAAUGAUACAUGUGGUGAUUUUAAAGACCUGUCUACCCAUUUUCUUGGUACUCUUCACUUUAAGAAAAGAAGCCCCCUUUCCCUUGAAUGUAGGCUAGACUUAGUGACUUGCCUUGAACAGAUGGAAUGCAGCAGAAAUAAUGGUUUGUCCCUUCUGAGUUUAGGUAUUAAAAGCCUACAGCUUCCAUCCUGGGUCUCUUUCUCUCUUCCUUUCUCUCAUUUCACUCUGGGGGAUGCUAGAUGCCUUGUUGUCUGAGCAGCCCUGGGGGAAGAGGCCCACAAAGUGAAGAACUGAAGUCUCCUGACAACAAGUGUGUGAUCUGGAGAGGGUAUUCUUCAGCCCCUUCAGAUGAUUAACCUGCAACUGACAACCUGACUGCAACCUCAAGAGAGAUCCUGAGUUGGAAGCUGCUAGCUAUGCCGCUCUCUGAUCCCUGACUUUCAGAAAUGUGUGUGAUAAUAAAUGUUUGUUGCCUUAAGCUGAAAAAUUGGAGGGUAAUUUAUUAUGUGGCCAUAGAUUACUAGCAAGUUUAUAUAAAUCUUCAGCUGCUCCUAGAUGCAGUAAAAUAUUUCAGGUUUAAUAAGUUUCCUGUCAUUUGAAAUAUCCUUUUUUCCCCACGAAUAUAAAAAAGUUUAAAGUCCUAGAUUCUUACCUACCUUCAGUUUCUUUUCAUGAGCUAUCUAAUAGAAAAGCCUCGUUUGAAUAGAAUUAGGACUCUACAUAAUAAGCAGUGAAACAAUGGCUGACUUACUGAGAGCUUAUUAGGUGCUCAAUUCCUAACUAAGCAUUCUACAUAAUAUUUCACUUAUUCCUCUCAACAGUAUAAUGAGGCAGGUAGCAUCAUUUGCUCAAUUCUUACAUCUGAGAAAACGCAGAGAAGGGAAAUACAAUCCCCUUUUUGUGGGUGUGGCUGAAACCUAUGACCUGCUCCUAACCAACAGAGUAUGGCAAGAGUGAUGGAGCUGAUAUUUUCUAUGAUUGUAUUUCAUUACAUAUGAGUCCCUCUCAGCGGAGUCUGCCGGCCUUGAAGGAACAACUGGCAUGUUGUGAAUUGCCCAUGAAGAGAGUCACGCAGCAGAGAACAGUGAGUGGCCACUAGACCUAAAAGCGGACCUCCAGUCAACAGCCAGGAAGAAAUGGAUCUUCAGUCCUACUGAAGUCCAUCUUCAGUCCUAUAAGAAAGUGAAUUUUGCCAACAACCUGAAAUAACUUGAGAUAGAUUCUUCCAAGCCUCCAGAUGUGAAUGCAGCCCCGCCAAUACCUUGACUGCAAACUUGGGAGAUUCCAAUUAAAGGAUCCAGCUAAUCCAUGCUAGACUCCUGACACAUGAUAACUGUGAGAUAAUAAAUGUGUGUUAUUUUAAGCUGCUAAAUUUGUGGUAAUUUUGUUAUACAUCAUAGAAAACUAAUUCCCAUUUAAUGCUACAGGAAUUGCCUGCCUUCUGUUCUUGGGGAAAAUUUUUUAAAAACUUUAUUAAAAUAUAAAUGCAUAGAGAAAAGUGUACAAGUCAUAAAGAUGCAACUCAAUACACUUAUGCAAACUGAACACAACAGCACCCAAAUCCAGAAACAGAAAAUUGCCAGCUUUCCAAGGUCCCUUAAGGAAGAUUUGAGUGGCAGGAACUACCUGAAUGCAGGGCUUAAGCAUUGUCUGUAUCACAGCAAAUUGGAUAAAACUUUCCAUCAUUGUAUCUUAGAGUUUAUAUUUAAGGAAGAUUAUUUUUUUCUAAAACAAAGACUAGACUAGGCUGUAUCUGAAAGCUGGUGUUUGUUUUGGGAGAUGUCUGUGUUUAAGGAUUCCUGAGUAAGAGGUUGUAUACUCUUAUUUGUGUGAUACUUUAUGGCUUUCAGUGGACUUCCACUAUUAUUAUUUCAUUGUACUCUCCCCAAAUCCCUACUGAAAACUACUGCCAGAUCUUCACUCUAUGAGUGAACUACAGUUACUCAUCAUUGAUUAAGGAUGCUGAGUAUGAGUAUUCAGGGCUGACCUUCACCUGAUAGACGGAGGUAUAGGUUACUGGCUGGUUUUAGCUGCAGUCCAUUCUGACUGGUUGGUGCCCAUACUCUAUAUAUGUUGAAAGUUUUGGAGCUCCCGCUAUAGCACAAUGGGAUCAAGGGCAUCUUGGGGAUGCUAGGAUGCAGGUUCGAUCCCCAGCAGGGCACAAUGGCUUAAGGAUCUCAGUGUGGCUUGGGUUGCAACUGCAGCUCAAUCUGAUCUCUGGCCUGAAACUCCAAAGGCAGGGCUACCAAAAAGAAAGAAAAAAAAAA
rnacentral:lncRNA from 1 species